rnacentral:lncRNA from 1 species
CUUUCGCGUCUGCGGUGCCCGGAGUGUGGUACUUCUCCUAGUUGCAGUCAGGCUUCAUACGCUAUUGUCCUGCCCGUUAGAGCAGCCAGCGGGUACAGAAUGGAUUUUGGAAGAGGGAGUCACCACUGGACCUCCAAGGAAGCCACGUGCAGACAUCUACAACCUUCGAUCUCCUGACGAGUUUAUUGUUGGCCAAAACCAGGCUUUGAUUGAACCAGGAUGAAUGCGGGUGUUGGAAGUAGAAUAUAUAUAUACAUAUAAAAUUGGUAAGUGGUGCCAACACGUCUUCCCUGGCUGAGUAGACACAGGCUCUGGAGGGGGUAGUAGCUGCUUUUCAGUGUGGGUUUGUCACCCUACUUCUUGUACGACUCAAAUGUGGCCUUUGCAGCUGAUGAUACAGCUUCUUUCCCCAUCAGAUCGACCCUGUUGAUCUCUACACUAUUGGCCAGUUUUGUCUGAUGCAUUGGCCCCAGUAAUAACUCCUAUCUUUGUUUUCUGCUUAUCUUUAUCAGAGACUAUUGCUUGUUCAUGGGAACUGGGCUUUCUCUAUUUUUUCCAGCAUUCAGAUGGCUUCUUUUGACCUGUUAACUUUCUAUAGGUUGGGAGCCACGUGUACCAGUGUGUGUUGAUCUUGGCUUGAUUCAGUCUGCCUUGUAACAGGUGAGGUUUCUGCUUUCUAUCUGCCAAACCCCACCGCAAAAUUUGUCCAACUGGGCCUAACCUCAGGACCCAUUUCCAAGUUGGGUAUAAAACUGGGAGAAUAAGUCAUUAGGACUGACAUUGGCCUGUUGGUAUUACUAGGUCUUUGUUGGAAAUAAGAGCUUGGAGUUCCAAAGAAAACGAGCACUUGAACAAAAGAUUUCUCAGCAAGGCAAAUUUACUUCUGCCGUAGGGUGCUGCUGCUGGCAUUCCUGGCAAGAGCACACCUAACAAAAGAGAGAAAGGGUUUUUAUUCCUAACAAGUAGUCCCUGCUUCUGUGUCCUAUCCCCAUUGGCUGGAGUCGACAGCGCAAUCUAAACUAGUCCUGAUUGGCUAUUUUAAACAGGAGGCAUGUGGGUUACAGCUGUGGGAAGGGCAGGAAACUUGUUUACAGAGCUGGUUGCUAGGAGUGAGGGGGACUUUUCCAAAUAGGGAACAGGUUACAGGUUGAGAUUGGCCGGAGAAGUUGUUUAUAGAACGGGUAACUCGGAGCAGGAAGGUAUGAGGAAGUUGACCUUAAGAACAAAGAACAAGGAAGUUAAAACUUUGAAGAGAAAUCCAUUGUAUCUAACGAUUUCCCCCUUUUGAUUUUUAUAAUUAUUUCUCUUCAGACUUGUUUUAGCGUGUCUUGAUUUUGUUCCUCUUGGUCCUCUGAAAUUAGAAGCUUAACUGAAUGAUGCGAGGGAGGAUUGAGGAAGAUUUUGGUGGGUGAGAGCUGUUAAAAUAAGCUUUUGUAUUAAUCCUCAGAUACAGGGUAUGAUACAGCAUCCUACAAGAAUGAGCAAACCUAUUCUGAUGGCAGGAGAUUGAGGACGUAAGUCCUUUCCAUUUGCGGAACUAUUUUUCCAUUAAAAUCGUGAAGGGGUCAUUUAUUCCAGAAUUUCUAGCUAGCUCAUUGGAUAAAGCAGUAAGUCCUUGGGCCUUUGUUAUGGUUCCAUCGGGAGCAGUAUUAUUAGGGAUGAAAGUACAACACUGGGUUCCAAUCAUGACACAAACUACACCUUUCUCCGCUAGUAUCAUGUCUAAUGCUAUUGUAUUUUCUCAGGCCGUUUGACUGGUGGGCCCUAAUUGUUAAACUGUUCCCUUAAUAGCAUCCCUAGUAUAAUUAAUGAAUCGUUGCUGGGUUACAUUUUUUGUGUUUUUUUUGAGAUGGAGUCUCACUCUGUCGCCCAGGCUGGAGUGCAAUGGUGCAAUGGUUCACUGCAACUUCCACCUCCUGGGUUCAACCUACUCUCCUUCAGCCUCCUGAGUAGCUGGGGGCUGUCACCAUGUUGGUCAGGCUGGUCUCAAACUCCUGAUCUUGUGAUCCACCCGCCUCAGCCUCCUAACAUGCUGGGAUUACAGGCGUGUGCCACCACUCCCGGCCCAAUCUACAUUUUUAUUUAGAGUUGACCACCAGAACAACAUGGAUUCAAACUUGCAGCUAUUUGAUUUUGGGCCUUAAAUCUAUCUGGCACUCCUCGUGGGAUUCCAAUGGCAUCUAUAUAAACAUGAGAGUCACGAGGGACAUCCAUUGUUUUAUGAUGUUCUGUUUUUAUGUAUGUUUUCUGGAUGAAAUACCAGGGUGAAAGGGAGAUAGCCAAUUGGAUUAGAGCUCAAGUGCCACGCCAAGUAACUUGGCAGAGUAUUCAGUAAUGGUCCACCACAACACCACCAUACGUUUGCUUGGGGAUGAAUAAGGGACGACUGAUUGGUAAGCUCCUGGAAGGGCUUAAGCUCACUGCAUCUCGUUAGGUCUCCAAGCAAAUUCAAGUUCUCCCCCUGUGAGAGACACGAGGUAAAAUUGGCAUUGGAAGACGGAUGCUUGAUGGCCCUCGGGGGCUGACCCGCAGGGUGUCGGACUUCAGGGGACUUCAGGAAACAGCAGCGAGAGAGUUUGGCAUAGCUUAUUGCCCCAGGUUGUGGGGUCUUGGAAGAGAGCUGCCAUACAACUUAAUGCCUGAUCGGCUGGAGGACGAUCCGAGUGGAAAGGGAACAAUCUGGGGCUCUGGCUUACCACGUGCGUAAGCAUAACAAUCGCUUUGUUUAGCGAGCGGACAGAAUGUUUAAUCCAUUCCAGCCAUGCAUUUGCAUCUCGGUACCGUUUCAAUUGGUAGAGUUUGCUUUAGAUCUUUAACCUCUACAAUGGUCACUUUGGUUUUGUCAUUGGGUGUUUGUUUAGAAGGGGAUGAAGGGGGUGGGGGAACAAUGAAGCGCAUUUCGAAAGAUCCUGUAGGGUCUAUCCCUAAUGUUGCGGCUCCCAUGCUGUAGAAGCUACUUAAAGUGGGAUUAGGAUUGGUGGAGGUAGAGGUAAGAAUAGAAAUUUGCACUGGGUUACAUUGGUGAUAUUGGCAAUUAGAGGGGGCCUUCCCUUUGAAACGAAGGUAGGGUUGUAGAGAGAUGCAGCUUUUUGGGGAAGUCUACCCUUGAGGAUCGGUAUUCCAUAGGACGUCAUUCCGGGAUGGGCAGAACCUCUCCUCAAACCCUUCCCAUUCCCAAACUGCAAAGAAUGUAAUGGAUUUAGUUUCGAUUAGGCAAGCAUUGUGUGAGGAUUUAGAAUUUAUCUUGGAAGGGCAGAGAUAUUUUUCUGAGAAGGCCAGUUGCCUCUGGUUUUGGAGAUCCCCACAGGAUAUGACAAGACAGGCAUCAAAUGUGAUUGAGGUGAGCUUGAUCUAGUUACAUUAAUGAUAAAAUAGCUGACGGUAGAGAGAGGAAAGAAGACAAGGCAGUAUAAGAGGGUUAAAGUUUUCGUAGCUUUAGGUUGGUAGAAAUUGGCCCUGGAACAAUAGCCCAUGACUCUGAAGAUGGUGAUGCUGUUUUGACUGGGGUAUGAUGGGUCCACCCCUUUUCGGCUGUUCGGGCUGCUGUUUCAGUUAGGAGUGCUAGGUAUGGUCCUUCCCAAGCUGGCUCCUUCCAGCUUUUGAUAAGGAUGUGAUCUCCAGGCUGGUAUUGAUGUACCAGGAACUGUAAGGGUGGCAUCUGUGCUAAAAUACCUUUAGUUCUGAGGUAAGAGAAAGUGGAAAGCCAAGUAUAUAAUUUGAUCCUUUGUUUCAAAGGUAGGAAUGUCAGUAGUAAGAGUGUAAAUAAGGCAGUCCACAUAACAGAGAGAUAGGCCAGUAUCUUUCUGAGAGGCAGUCCUGACUGAAUUAGGUGAAUCUGUAAACCCUUGGGGUAGGACUCUCCAUUGGUACUGCUGCUUCCAUCCAGAAUGAGGGUUUUCCCACUCAAAAGCAAAUACUUCUCUUGUCUUCAGCCAAGGGACAUGCCCAGAAGGCAUCUUUUAAAUCUGUUACUCUGAACCAUUGAUUGUCAUGGAAUUCUGCUGAGGAUGGUAAAAGGAUUGGGGACAACAGGGUGGGUAGUCUGGACUAUUUGGUUGAUAGCCUGGAGAUCUUGUACUAGUUGAUGAGACCUGUCUGAUUUCUUUACAGGUAAUACUGGGGUGUUAAUAGGGGGACAUACAGGGUUCAGGGAAUCAGUCCUGAAUGAGAACUUCAACUACAGGCUUUAAUUCUAUUCUGCCCUCUAGGGGAAUGGGAUAUUACCUUUUUCUUACUAUUUCCCCUGGGGUCUUUAACUUUGUAUGGAUUGGAGUGACUUGAAGUUUCUUUUUUUCUUUCUUUUUUUUUUUUGAGUUGGAGUCUCUGUCACCCAAGCUGGAGUGCAAUGGUGUGAUCUUAAGCCACUGCAACCUUUGCCUCCUGGGUUCAAACAAUUCUCCUGCCUCGGCCUCCUGAGUAGCUGGGAUUACAGGCGCCUGCCACUGCACCCAGCUAAUUUUUGUAUUUUUAGUAGAGAUGGGGUUUCACCAUGUUGGCCAGGCUGGUCUCAAACUCCUGACCUCGUGAUCCACCCACCUUGGCCUCCCAAAGUGCUGGUAUUUCAAGUGUGAGCCAGCAAGCCCAGCCUCCCUGAUUUCUUUUUCCUGCCCAUACAUGAGGAUGAAUGUAUUUUUCUUCUGCGGUGGUAAGUCUCUUCCUAAUAAGUUCGUUCCUGCCUCAGGGAUUAACAGGAAUUUAACAUGGGCUGAUCAAUUUUUGUAUAGACCUCUGUCUUUUAAGAUUUUUGCUUUAAAUCUUUUAUCCCUGAGAUAGAAAGUUCUUCUGAAGAACAGGUGAUAGAUACCAGAUGGGAGGGAACGGGAGCGAGCUGCUGCUGAAUCUGUAAGAAGGUUUUAAGUUCACAUUUGGGUCCCACCUCUAAAUUUAUCAGGGGCUCUUGGUGGGACUCAAGGUAAAAGAGACAGCCCCUGACCUCCCUAUUUUCCUGGAAGGCCAUAAGUGGAAUAUUUUUUCUUUUUCCCAUUUGGGGCAUUCUCUUUUGAAGUGACCUACUCUUCCACAUUUGAAACAUUUGUUUUCCCCUCUUCCCUGUCCUGCACUGUGACUUCCAGGUUUUAUUCCCUUACUCCUUGUAUACAGUUUGGUCGCUGGUGGCCUAGAGGGUUUGUAAGUUUUACUUCCUUGUGUCUCCUACUGCAGAGUUCUCUGUUGUAAGGUAGACAGCAUGAUUUUUGCCUUUUGUUUCUGCUGCUCUUUGUCCCUACUUAUAUGCUUCUCUAAGAAGUUAGUCUCUGGGACAAUCUUUCCAAUUCUCUAUCUUUUGUAGUUGUUUUUAGAGGUGUUUGGCCAAGUCUUAGUAACAAAAUGAAGCUUUAGCAUCCCUUGCCCCAGUGGGUCUUCCAUUUCUAAACCUGCAUAUUUUCUCAUCUGUUCUUUAAGCCUAUUUAGGAAUUCAUGGGUCCUUCAUCCAUCCCUUGUAUGUUGAAUGCUUGGGAAAUACUCUCAGUUCGGGAUACUGAUGGAACAUUUUGACCGGUAGGGUGUUAAUGUUCCCAGACUACCAAAGCAGCCCUAUGGAUCAUGGUUCUUCUCCCAAGAAGGGAAUGCCUAAAAUGGACAUAAGCUCGGCCCAUACAACUGGGGUCCUAAAAAAUGAUUUGAUCUGCUACCCCAUAAGGGUCAUCUAACAAGGGCUUGAGUUUUUCUUUUUUUUUAGAUUUUGUACUUCUGAGCUGGUUAAGGGGGCAUUUACGAAGCUGAUGCCUCCUCUCCCAAGGGGCACUUCUUCAAGGGGAAGAGAGUUGGGGGCAAUUCUUUGGAGGUGGAAAGGGGAAAGGGAAGUUCUGAGUAUCCUUUUUACAUUGUUCUAUUUCAUGCUGUAGGGCUUAAGUGUGUGGCUAGGGGGAACAUGGGGUAUUGAUUCAGGAUUAUAUGGGGGAGGGACUGAUGAGUGGGGGGAUCCUGUGUACCGGCUUGAUGCAUGGGGUUUGGCAGAGGCAAGUGGUCUGGUGGGUCCCAUAUGUUAGCAGGCUGUUCGGGGGUAGAGACCUUACUCCUUUCAGAGGAGUUGGCUUCUGGCUUGCUUCCUGUAGUUAUGUUUAGUCCUUUCACUAUCCUUUUAGCAUGAGAACCUAGGGGACUGUCAGAGGGGAUGUUACUGUCAUUAAUUUGAUCCUUUCUAUUUACUGUCUUUCUUGAGGUAUUUUGCAUAAUGAAGGUUUGGUGUGAGGCCCAAAAUUAGAUUUAUUGCCUUUCCUCAUAGGCUCAACCUCCCUUACUGGAGAUUUCUUGCCAUUCCUUUCUCUAGAGGGUCAGCCCCUGGCUACUGGAGAUUUCUUGCACUCUUCUCCUUUUGCUUCAUCCUUCUCUGGCUGCUUCCCAGGAGGGAAUAUUUCAGGUCCUCCUUAGCAUUGGUGUGUCAGUAUAAGCCCCAUGACAGGAAUCCACCAUAAGCUAUACGAGGUGACCAUGGAAUCACAGAUCCGGAAUCAUCGCUCGCUUCGCACUCAGUUGUGCGUCUCAUUGACACACUUUCAACCUCUAAAAUGCCCUGACCACCAAGGAAAUACUUUGUCGCCCCUGUGACUUUUCUUAACUUGGUCUGUGCAGUUACCUGGUCACCGCAGUAUGUGAGGAUCCUUUCCGCCUGUGUUGCUGAGAGUCUGGGUUUAUGUGUCACCUUGGGUGGGACCCAAUCUCCUGUUUGUGAGGCCACCGCAAAGAGGUGGUGGGAUGCCUCUCCUCAAGAGAGGUGAUCGUGGGCUUCUCCUGAAGGAGAACGGUAAUCCCAGAUGAGCUCCCAAAUUGUUGGCAAUAAGAGCUCAGAGUUGCAAAGAAAAUGAUCUCCAAAAGAUUUCUCAGCAAGGCAGAUUUACUUCUGCAGAAUGGUGCUGCUUGCACUCCUGGUCACAGUGAGAGCACCCCGAACAAAGGAGGUGAAGUGGUUUUUAUCCCUAACACAGCUAGUUCCUGCUUCUGUGUUCUAUCCCCAUUGGCUAGAGUCCAAUCUAAACUAGUCCUGAUUGGCUAUUUUAAACAGGAGGGGUGUGGGUUACAGCAGUGGGAAGAGCAGUUGCCACGAGCGAGGGAGACUUUUCCAGAUAAGGAACAAAUGCGGGUUACAGGUUGGGAUUGGUGGGAGAAAUGUUUACAGAAUGGGUAAUUAGGAGUGGGAAGGUAUGAGGAAGUUGACCUUAAGAACAAAGAACAAGGAAGUUAAACUUUGAAGAGAAACCCAUCAUACCUAACAGUCUUGUAAGAAAGGAUGACAAAGUGAUUGAACAUUGGGUGGAGCUAAUUUUCCUUGGCCAAUUCACUUAGUAAGAUAAGGAGCUCCAAAUCAUAUUUAAGUUGGGAGUCAAUUGAUUUUACUUAAUUCUUGUGAGGUUCAGUUAUAAGAUUCAUCAUACUACUACCAUGAGCCAUCCUCAGCUCCUUGUUACAUGGGCCUGUUAACAUGGCAGCUUUGUCUAUAAGCAAACCCAGGAGAGAAAGACAUAGCAGAGAUGGAUGUUUGAAGUCUAUACCUUCCACCCCCUUUAAAGAGAAAGUAACACCACUCCUUUUCUGUGUCCCUUGGGGACACUACCUCCAUGUCUGGUCACAUGGCUGGACUUUACAGCAGAUAAGCAUACUGUGGCCUGAGACCAUGAUUGUAUGCUUUCCUUCUGCUGACCUUUACAAUCCCUCAAUAAAUUGAGCUAACACAGGGAAGCUUUUUUACCAAAUAACUGUGUUGCAUCAUCCUCCAGUUUGCCUGGUGUCCUUAAUCAAUGGAAGGGGAAUAAGCAAACUGAGUUUUCUUACACCUUUUGAGUAUAGUGUUUUUGCCAUCAUAGAUGUGGCUCCUCAUAAUUCUCCAACUUUUAUAUUAAAAAACCAAAACCUCAAAAAUUGUAGUUCAUGUCAGUCAGUGAUGACUCAUCUUAGAAGUAUUUUGUUUUUGGAUGUGUGAAUGUGCAUAGUUCUUAAAGUCCAACAUUCAUGUAAUAAGACAUCUUGCAUAUAACAAUGACCCUUACGUCUAAGAUGUUAAAUAGAUCCUAAGCCUGGUAUAACUUUAUUCAAGUAUCCUUAUUUGCCCCUAAAAUGUCUUUAAUACACAUUACUUGGGUUAUUUCUUGAAUGAACAUACAGGUAUCCCAAUUUCUGUUUUUAAGAGAAUGGGGUCUUGCUCUGUCACCCAGGCUGGAGUGCAGUGGUGCAGUCAUGGCUUACUGCAUCCAUGAUCCUCCUGCCUCAGCCUCCCAAGUAGAUGGGACUGAAAGCACACACUGCCAUCCCUGGCUAAUGUUUUCAUAUUUUGUAGAGUUGCAGCCUUGCUACGUGACCCAGGCUGGAGUGUAGUAGCUAUUCACAGGCAUGAUUGCUUGAAACUCAUGGCUUCAAGGGAAACUCCCACCCUCAAUAUCCUCAGUAGCUGCAACUACAGCCAUACCCCCCACUGCUCAGCUUCUCAUCCUUUAAAAGAUUUUUACUGGUAGUGUCCUCAUUCUGGGUUUUUGUCUUCUGUGUUUACUGUGACAUGAAGUCAUUUUUAGAUGAAGGUUAAACAUUUUGCCAACGCAGGUACAAUAUGGGAUUCAAUAAAAGUACAGAAUUAAAGUUGUCUUAUUAGAGAUUGGGAAGUUUCCCAGCUCCGUUUAUCGGUACUUGGCCGUACCGAUAAAGGGGAUGGACUUGGAGUGACCAGGUCUUAGUCACAUGUAUUUUCAUACCCUAAACAAGAAGCGGUAUAGACCAGAAUGGAGCACUGAUUGUAAUCCACCUUCUUUCUUAGAAACUGGCGAUGGAAUAUGAGAGGAGCCCUCUGGAAAGAAAAGGACAGACCCUGUGCUUUCAUGAAAGUGAAGAUCUGGCUGAACCAGUUCCACAAGGUUACUGUAUACAUAGCCUGAGUUUAAAAGGCUGUGCCCACUUCAAGAAUGUCAUUGUUAGACUUUGAAAUUUCUAACUGCCUACCUGCAUAAAGAAAAUAAAAUCUUUUAAAUCAAAA